ACUACGAGUUUGAUCGAUGGCUACAGGACGAACGCUGGCGGCGUGCUUAACACAUGCAAGUCGAACGAGGGAAUUCUUUUCGGAGAAUAUACCGAGUGGCGGACGGGUGAGUAACGCGUGGAUAACCUGCCAUACACUGGGGGAUAACAGCUGGAAACAGCUGCUAAUACCGCAUAAAACUGUAGAGUCGCAUGACUUUAUAGCCAAAGCUCCGGCGGUGUAUGAUGGAUCCGCGUCUGAUUAGGCAGUUGGCGGGGUAACGGCCCACCAAACCGACGAUCAGUAGCCGACCUGAGAGGGUGACCGGCCACAUUGGGACUGAGACACGGCCCAGACUCCUACGGGAGGCAGCAGUGGGGAAUAUUGCACAAUGGAGGAAACUCUGAUGCAGCGACGCCGCGUGAGCGAUGAAGUAUUUCGGUAUGUAAAGCUCUAUCAGCAGGGAAGAUAAUGACGGUACCUGACUAAGAAGCUCCGGCUAAAUACGUG
rnacentral:rRNA from 1 species